rnacentral:rRNA from 1 species
GAUGAACGCUGGCGGCGUGCUUAACACAUGCAAGUCGAGCGAAGCAGUUAAGUUGAUUUCUUCGGAUUGAUUCUUAAUUGACUGAGCGGCGGACGGGUGAGUAACGCGUGGGUGACCUGCCCCAUACCGGGGGAUAACAGCUGGAAACGGCUGCUAAUACCGCAUAAGCGCACAGAGCUGCAUGGCUCAGUGUGAAAAACUCCGGUGGUAUGGGAUGGGCCCGCGUCUGAUUAGGCAGUUGGCGGGGUAACGGCCCACCAAACCGACGAUCAGUAGCCGGCCUGAGAGGGCGACCGGCCACAUUGGGACUGAGACACGGCCCAAACUCCUACGGGAGGCAGCAGUGGGGAAUAUUGCACAAUGGGGGAAACCCUGAUGCAGCGACGCCGCGUGAGCGAAGAAGUAUUUCGGUAUGUAAAGCUCUAUCAGCAGGGAAGAUAAUGACGGU